rnacentral:rRNA from 1 species
AACGUAGGACACAAGCGUUAUCCGGAAUUACUGGGCGUAAAGCGCCAGCAGGCGGUUGCCUAAGUCGAUGGUGAAAGCGCCAGGCUAAACCUGGAGAGGUCCGUCGAUACUGGGGAGCUAGAGGGUGAUAGAGGCGAGUGGAAUUCCGCGUGUAGUGGUGAAAUGCGUAGAGAUGCGGAGGAACACCAGUGGCGAAGGCGGCUCGCUGGGUCACACCUGACGCUGAGAGGCGAAAGCAUGGGGAGCGAACGGG